UGGGGAAUAUUGCACAAUGGGCGCAAGCCUGAUGCAGCCAUGCCGCGUGUGUGAAGAAGGCCUUCGGGUUGUAAAGCACUUUCAGCGAGGAGGAAGGUGGUGAGCUUAAUACGCUCAUCAAUUGACGUUACUCGCAGAAGAAGCACCGGCUAACUCCGUGCCAGCAGCCGCGGUAAUACGGAGGGUGCAAGCGUUAAUCGGAAUUACUGGGCGUAAAGCGCACGCAGGCGGUUUGUUAAGUCAGAUGUGAAAUCCCCGGGCUCAACCUGGGAACUGCAUUUGAAACUGGCAAGCUAGAGUCUCGUAGAGGGGGGUAGAAUUCCAGGUGUAGCGGUGAAAUGCGUAGAGAUCUGGAGGAAUACCGGUGGCGAAGGCGGCCCCCCUGGACGAAGACUGACGCUCAGGUGCGAAAGCGUGGGGCAGCAAACAGGAUUAGAUACCCUGGUAGUCCAGCGCUGUAAAACGAUGUCGAUUUGGAGGUUGUGCCCUUGAGGCGUGGCUUCCGGAGCUAACGCGUUAAAUCGACCGCCUGGGGGAGUACGGCCGCAAGGUUAAAACUUAAAUGAAUUGAC
rnacentral:rRNA from 1 species